GAUGAACGCUGGCGGCGUGCCUAAUACAUGCAAGUCGAGCGAACAGACGAGGAGCUUGCUCCUCUGACGUUAGCGGCGGACGGGUGAGUAACACGUGGAUAACCUACCUAUAAGACUGGGAUAACUUCGGGAAACCGGAGCUAAUACCGGAUAAUAUAUUGAACCGCAUGGUUCAAUAGUGAAAGACGGUUUUGCUGUUACUUAUAGAUGGAUCCGCGCCGCAUUAGCUAGUUGGUAAGGUAACGGCUUACCAAGGCAACGAUGCGUAGCCGACCUGAGAGGGUGAUCGGCCACACUGGAACUGAGACACGGUCCAGGCUCCUACGGGAGGCAGCAGUAGGGAAUCUUCCGCAAUGGGCGAAAGCCUGACGGAGCAACGCCGCGUGAGUGAUGAAGGUCUUCGGAUCGUAAAACUCUGUUAUUAGGGAAGAACAAAUGUGUAAGUAACUAUGCACGUCUUGACGGUACCUAAUCAGAAAGCCACGGCUAACUACGU
rnacentral:rRNA from 1 species